rnacentral:rRNA from 1 species
AGAGUUUGAUCCUGGCUCAGAAUCAACGCUGGCGGCGCGCUUAACACAUGCAAGUCGCACGAGAAAGGGAGCAAUCCUAAGUAAAGUGGCGCACGGGUGAGUAACACGUGGAUCAUCUACCUUUUAGUGGGGAAUACCUCUGGGAAACCGGAGACAAUACCGCAUAAGCCCGCAAGGGGAAAGCAGCAAUGCGCUGAAAGAGGAGUCCGCGGCCGAUUAGCUAGUUGGCGGGGUAACGGCCCACCAAGGCGAAGAUCGGUAGCCGGCCUGAGAGGGCACACGGCCACACUGGCACUGAAACACGGGCCAGACUCCUACGGGAGGCAGCAGUGGGGAAUCUUGCACAAUGGGCGAAAGCCUGAUGCAGCGACGCCGCGUGAGCGAUGAAGCCCUUCGGGGUGUAAAGCUCUUUCGACGGGAACGAUAAUGACGGUACCCGGAGAAGAAGCUGCGGCUAACUACGUGCCAGCAGCCGCGGUAAUACGUAGGCAGCGAGCGUUGUUCGGAAUUACUGGGCGUAAAGAGUGUGUAGGCGGUGUUCCCAGUCUGUUGUGAAAUCUCCCGGCUUAACUGGGAGGGUGCAGCGGAAACUAGAAUGCUAGAGGGUGGGAGAGGUAAGCGGAAUUCCUGGUGUAGCGGCGAAAUGCGUAGAUAUCAGGAGGAACACCUGUGGUGUAGACAGCUUACUGGACCACUUCUGACGCUGAGACACGAAAGCGUGGGUAGCAAACAGGAUUAGAUACCCUAGUAGUCC